rnacentral:rRNA from 1 species
GACGAACGCUGGCGGCGUGCUUAACACAUGCAAGUCGAACGGAAAGGCCCUGCUUUUGUGGGGUGCUCGAGUGGCGAACGGGUGAGUAACACGUGAGUAACCUGCCCUUGACUUUGGGAUAACUUCAGGAAACUGGGGCUAAUACCGGAUAGGAGCUCCUGCUGCAUGGUGGGGGUUGGAAAGUUUCGGCGGUUGGGGAUGGACUCGCGGCUUAUCAGCUUGUUGGUGGGGUAGUGGCUUACCAAGGCUUUGACGGGUAGCCGGCCUGAGAGGGUGACCGGCCACAUUGGGACUGAGAGACGGCCGAGACUCCUACGGGAGGCAGCAGUGGGGAAUAUUGCACAAUGGGCGGAAGCCUGAUGCAGCAACGCCGCGUGCGGGAUGACGGCCUUCGGGUUGUAAACCGCUUUCGCCUGUGACGAAGCGUGAGUGACGGUAAUGGGUAAAGAAGCACCGGCUAACUACG